CGCCUCUUGAUAAACAAAUAUAAGAGGUCCCGCCUGCCCUGUGACUAUAAGUUUAACGGCCGCAGUAUUUUAACUGUGCAAAGGUAGCGCAAUCACUUGUCUCUUAAAUAGAGACCCGUAUGAAUGGCAUAACGAGGGCUUAACUGUCUCCUUUCCCCGGUCAAUGAAAUUGAUCUCCCCGUGCAGAAGCGGGGAUUAUAACAUAAGACGAGAAGACCCUGUGGAGCUUUAGACAAGAAGUCAAUUUUUAGGCUAGUGCAUAACUAAGCAUCAACUAAUUGGCUGAAUGUCUUUGGUUGGGGCGACCGCGGAGUAAAACACAACCUCCGCGAGGACUGGAGUAAACCUUUAGAACUAAGAACCCCUGUUCUAAGUAACAAAAUAUUUGACCUUAAAAGAUCCGGCUUUAAGCCGAUCUACGGACCGAGUUACCCUAGGGAUAACAGCGCAAUCCUCUUCAAGAGUCCCUAUCGACAAGGGGGUUUACGACCUCGAUGUUGGAUCAGGACAUCCUAAUGGUGCAACCGCUAUUAAGGGUUCGUUUGUUCAACGAUUAAAGUCCU
rnacentral:rRNA from 1 species